GACAGAGGGUGCAAACGUUGUUCGGAAUUACUGGGCGUAAAGCGCGUGUAGGCUGCCCCGCAAGUCGGAUGUGAAAGCCCUGGGCUCAACCUAGGAAGUGCAUUCGAAACUGCGGGGCUGGAGUCCUGGAGAGGAAGGCGGAAUUCUCGGUGUAGAGGUGAAAUUCGUAGAUAUUGGGAGGAACACCAGUGGCGAAGGCGGCUCACUGGACCGGUACUGACGCUGAGGCGCGAAAGCGUGGGGAGCAAACGGG
rnacentral:rRNA from 1 species